GACGAACGCUGGCGGCGUGCUUAACACAUGCAAGUCGAACGGACAGGCCCUGCUUUUGUUGGGUGCUCGAGUGGCGAACGGGUGAGUAACACGCGAGUAACCUGUCCUUGUCUUACGGAUAACUUCAGGGAACUGGGGCUCUUACCGGAUAGAAGCUCCUGCUGCAUGGGGGUGGUUGGAAAGUGUCGGCGGUUGGGGAUGGACUCGAGGCUUAUCAGCUUGUUGGUGGGGUAGUGGCUUACCAAGGCUUUGACGGGUAGCCGGCAUGAGAGGGUGACCGGCCACAAUGGGACUGAGAUACGGCCCAGAAUGCUACGGGAGGCAGCAGUGGGGAAUAUUGCACAAUGGGCGGAAGCCUGAUGCAGCAGCGCCGCGUGCGGGAUAACGGCCUUCGGGUUGUAAACCGCUUUCGCCUGUGACGAAGCGUGAGUGACGGUAAUUGGUCAAGAAGCACCGGCUAACUACGUG
rnacentral:rRNA from 1 species